AGAGUUUGAUCCUGGCUCAGAAUCAACGCUGGCGGCGCGCCUAACACAUGCAAGUCGAACGAGAAAGCAGGAGCAAUCUUGUGAGUAAAGUGGCGUACGGGUGAGUAACACGUGGAUCAUCUACCCUCUUGNUGGGGGAUAACCCUGGGAAACCGGGGCUAAUACCGCAUAAGCUCGAGAGAGGAAAGCAGCAAUGCGCAGGAGGAGGAGUCCGCGGCCGAUUAGCUAGUUGGUAGGGUAAAAGCCUACCAAGGCAACGAUCGGUAGCCGGCCUGAGAGGGCACACGGCCACACUGGCACUGAAACACGGGCCAGACUCCUACGGGAGGCAGCAGUGGGGAAUCUUGCACAAUGGGGGCAACCCUGAUGCAGCGACGCCGCGUGAGCGAUGAAGCCCUUCGGGGUGUAAAGCUCUUUCGGCAGGGAAGAUUAUGACGGUACCUGCAGAAGCAGCUGCGGCUAACUACGUGCCAGCAGCCGCGGUAAUACGUAGGCAGCAAGCGUUGUUCGGAGUUACUGGGCGUAAAGGGUGUGUAGGCGGUCUUCUAUGUUUGGUGUGAAAUCUCCCGGCUCAACUGGGAGGGUGCGCCGAAAACUGGGAGGCUAGAGUGCGGGAUGGGAGAGUGGAAUUCCUGGUGUAGCGGUGAAAUGCGUANAUAUCAGGAGGAACACCUGUGGUGUAGACGGCUCUCUGGACCGCAACUG
rnacentral:rRNA from 1 species